UACGGAGGGGGCUAGCGUUGUUCGGAAUUACUGGGCGUAAAGCGCACGUAGGCGGCUUUGUAAGUUAGAGGUGAAAGCCCGGAGCUCAACUCCGGAAUUGCCUUUAAGACUGCAUCGCUUGAAUCAUGGAGAGGUGAGUGGAAUUCCGAGUGUAGAGGUGAAAUUCGUAGAUACUCGGAAGAACACCAGUGGCGAAGGCGACUCACUGGACGACUGUUGACGCUGAGGUGCGAAAGCGUGGGGAGCUAACAGG
rnacentral:rRNA from 1 species